GACCUAUUCAUCUAUACUAAGGUAGGGACCGCGGAGCGAUUGCUGUAUUGGGUUGUAGACAAUAAUCUCUGCGAUCGCCUUUUGGACGAUGUUUAUUUACGUUUCGUUAGAGCAUGCGCAUGAGAGCAAAUAUGGCGUGCGAAGGAAAACAGUGUUUUACCUACAUCUACUAUUUUGUAAUUUUCCAUAUAUUUUGAUAAUUAAAGUGAGUUGAAACCUGUUUUCGGCCACAUUUACUGGCAAUCCCAGUACAGUAAAACACUAACGUUCGCUGUGGCAUUCCAGAAUUGUGAAGAAGCCUACAUACAAAGGAGUUUUCCAGCCCGAAACUUGUGUAUUGCUUGAAGACAAAUCCAGGAAUCAGCCAUGAAUGUUGAAGAUAAAAAACAAGAAAGAAGCAAGGCUAAAAUGGCGGUCACUGUCGCAGCGAGGCGUCUGAUCGGAGUCUACAACAGAGAUUGUGAAUAUGAUAUUUUAAAGGAUUCAAUGUUCGAACUUGAAAGGGUAUUUGAUGAUUUUUGCGUUAUAAAUGAGGAAUACGAACUUAUUGUAUCUGACGAAAAAAUACGCUGAACACCGUGUAGUUAAUGGUGAAGACAUUAGGACUUACAGAGACAAUGUAAAAAGGUGCUAUCAAGAAGCUAUGAGUGUAUUUGUUAGUGUAAAGACAACAAUCGAACAAAAAGCUAGACAACAAAGUGCUGGGCCUGUCAAAGUUGCCCUAAAGAAUGACAUUUGUAGAAUUCAUGAACUAAUCACAGUCGUUGAUGAGAGUUUUAAACUGGAUAAUGUGAAUAUGGCAGCUUUACAACUAGAUAAGAGUGAUCUACAGUCAAUUUUGAACAUAAUAUGUGAUAACAUGGCAAAACUUGGCUCGAUUGAAACACAAGAGCAAGUUAACCUAAUCCAAGAAGAAGUCGAUGCUAUUAUCAGAGCAGUUUACAAUUGCAUCAGAAAGAUAAACUUGUUUUUGCAUGAGCAACAAGCAUUUGUUAAAUCAUUACACAUUGAAAAUGCCACUCUCCC